AGCUGGCGCGUGCCUAUACUGCAAGUCGAGCGAACUGAUUAGAAGCCUUGCUUCUAUGACGUUAGCGGCGGACGGGUGAGUAACACGUGGGCAACCUGCCUGUAAGACUGGGAUAACUUCGGGAAACCGAAGCUAAUACCGGAUAGGAUCUUCUCCUUCAUGGGAGAUGAUUGAAAGAUGGUUUCGGCUAUCACUUACAGAUGGGCCCGCGGUGCAUUAGCUAGUUGGUGAGGUAACGGCUCACCAAGGCAACGAUGCAUAGCCGACCUGAGAGGGUGAUCGGCCACACUGGGACUGAGACACGGCCCAGACUCCUACGGGAGGCAGCAGUAGGGAAUCUUCCGCAAUGGACGAAAGUCUGACGGAGCAACGCCGCGUGAGUGAUGAAGGCUUUCGGGUCGUAAAACUCUGUUGUUAGGGAAGAACAAGUACAAGAGUAACUGCUUGUACCUUGACGGUACCUAACCAGAAAGCCACGGCUAACUACGUGCCAGCAGCCGCGGUAAUACGUAGGUGGCAAGCGUUAUCCGGAAUUAUUGGGCGUAAAGCGCGCGCAGGCGGUUUCUUAAGUCUGAUGUGAAAGCCCACGGCUCAACCGUGGAGGGUCAUUGGAAACUGGGGAACUUGAGUGCAGAAGAGAAAAGCGGAAUUCCACGUGUAGCGGUGAAAUGCGUAGAGAUGUGGAGGAACACCAGUGGCGAAGGCGGCUUUUUGGUCUGUAACUGACGCUGAGGCGCGAAAGCGUGGGGAGCAAACAGGAUUAGAUACCCUGGUAGUCCACGCCGUAAACGAUGAGUGCU
rnacentral:rRNA from 1 species